CCAAGCCCAAGCCCCCAAUUAAAAUUACAUAUACAAGACGUAAGGGGACCAAGUGACAUGGAAGAUAACUAUAUUACAGCAUGGCAUGCCGGUAGUUUCUAGAAUAAAGCUGCAUCUCUCUCUGUAGUCAGGUGGUUAGCUAUUCUGUUGAGUUGGUUAGGAGAAGGGUAUAUGUAAGGGGGGUGGGGAAUAGUAGAAGGCAG
rnacentral:lncRNA from 1 species